rnacentral:lncRNA from 1 species
CUCUUCCUUUCCUAGUAAGUUUGAAAGCCUUUUGAAACAAAUGGAAUUUGCAUCAGGAAACUCUUAGGAGAAGGUCUGCAGUCCUGUUCCCUUGUAGAACUACAACAGAUAGAAAAACAGUUGGAGCGGAGUGUCAGUACCAUCCGAGCACGAAAGGUUUCUUCAUAAAAGUCCAAGAAAUGAUCUGUUCUAAUGAAGUUUUGGGUACUUGACAUUUAAUUUACUUUGCUUAUUCUUUUCAGAUUCAAGUUUUUAAGGAACAAAUUGAACGACUAAAAGAAAAGGUAACACCACAGUUAAUUUAUUUUGAGCUGCAAUUCCCAUGAAGGUACACAAUUAUUUGAGUAACAAUUCAUGCAUAAUGCAAUCAUUUAAAUAGUGAAUUCAAGAUAACUCAAAUUGCAAAGUCGAAACUACUUAUUUAUGGCAUGACUUUGUUGUUGCAUGUCAUUGUCUCUGUCCCUCAAUAGCAGCUUCACUAGUUAAUGUAAUGCUUUCCUGUCUAACAAAUCCAGGAGAAAAUCCUUGCUUCUGAAAAUGCAAUACUGAGGGAGAAGGUAUAUUUUUCUUUUCCUUAGCCUCAAACCUUAGUUUAAGUCCUCUUUCAACUCUUCGACUCUAUAGUUCAUAGUCGAGUAUAAAAUCAUAAUAAAGGCAAGUAGUAAUUCUCUCGUGCCUUGUUUUAGUUUGGUGGCCUUCAACAGAGUCAAGGCUCAAGUGGAGAAAAGGAAGGUGAAGCUCUUUGUACAGAGAGUAGUGAAAAAUCAGAUGUGGAGACUGAAUUGUUCAUCGGACCACCCGAGUGCAGAAUAAGGCGUCCCUUACAGAAUUAAUAGGUGAACAAUCUUUUGGACUAUCUGCAGUUAAGGGUAUAUAACUAAUUGUGAAAAUGGUCUUCAUGCUAAAUAAUUGUGCAUUUUUUAUCAAGCAACUAAUAAGACGUAUGUCUCUUAGGCGCAGCUGAUGGAACUUUUGAUCACUUCUGAGAUGAUUUGUACUGGGAUGUGUAUUAUAUUUUCCUUUGAUUGACACUCUUAGUUAAUAAGUUCCUUUCUUUAUGAAGUUAAGCACCUGUUUAGCUGCUUUCAUAUUUGUGGAACAACUAUAUAACAAAACAAUAUUCUAAUCACUCUUUAUGUCAGCAAAAUCUUAAGCAUCAUGGAUAUUGACUUUCUUGCUUGGCUCUUGUUCAUUUGCUAGAGUAUCUCCUACCUCCAAAACCAUAAAAAUCAGAUAAAUUUCUGAGGUUUAUCUCUAAGUUGUAGACCCUUAAUUUUAUUAGUACUUCAUGCUGCGAUCCAACAGUUGCAUCGUUAGUUUUAUCAUUGAUGGGAUUGAAGUCCUGACAAUACAAAGUUUGUGUGUUCUUGAAGAUCAAAUCGAGUUUGCAUUACAGACAUUAUUUACAGGGAUAGCAUGUGCUAACUUCUCAAGUAUCAGAAUAUUACCACAAGCUGUGCAAAUAAAAAGAAGAGUGAGGAUAAACAUGUAAAAAAACAAUUUCGUGAUAAUUUGCCGAGGACCAGACUUAGACCAAGUCCUAUGGAGUUUCAAAAAUAGACCUCUAUGUGAUCAUUCAGCUGUGGCACCAUCCAAAAUUUUAAUCACAUCUUUUGUAGGAAGAGUAGGAAUAGCCUCAAGUUUAACUCUACCUAUUCUUCUGUAAAAUCUUGCAAAAAUUUAUCUUCCCUGCCAAGAUGAAUCUUCACAAAUUAUAAUUUGUGAUAACAAUAUCAGAAGUGAAGCUCUUAAACUGUUACUGAUUUUAUACCCAAGUUGGAAAUAUUAAAACACUAAUGUUAGUGUAGUAUCAUUGUAUCAGCAGCCUUCUCCCCCUUCAGUAACCUGCAAAAGCCUAGGAUUCUGGUUGAAAACUGAAAAGUUUAGUUAUCACAACAUUGUCAUCUCAUUUGCAUUAUCACCAUUAGUUAACAAAGUGAUUUUGUGCUCCCUUGUCUGCUAUUUCGAUGCAAGCACAAGAUAAAGGACUUUUACUGCAAACAAAAACCACUACAACUAUGCCUCCAUUGCAAGCAAGUAGAGAUCAACUAUACAAGUCCUCACUUUUACUGCUAAGCCAGGGUUUAAAUUGUUUGUAAGCUUCAGUUACCUUGAUUAUGUAUGCCAGAUUGGCCCAAAAUGCUCAUGAUGCCUUUCCCAGCAGCCUCUGCCUAUGGCCAUAAAUGCAAAUCUUAGAUUGGGAUCUUUCGUACAAUUAAUAUUCAGCGUAGAGAAAGCUAAGUUUAUUUACCUUCUGAAUGAGAUAUUUGGCUAACUCUGCUUCAGUAAGGAGCAUUUUCAGCACUUGGAAACAUGAGCUCACUCUCACCAUCUGAUCUUAAGUUGACAGGAGGCCAAGGCUGUCUUUGCCUUUGGGAUCAAAACAGAUGCCUGAAUUAUUAACACGGUUCUCUUUUAAGUCAUCUGCUAGCAUAUGAGCUAUGACCAAACUGAUCUUCACAUACCUGAAACAAUGAUGAAAUCUUUCCAAUUAUCCUGGGAAAAUUUUGAGAGAAGCUCUCGAAUUAGCAAACGAGAGAACCAAGAAAACUGAUUAAGCAAGACUACCAUAAUGAUUAGUUACUACAGCAGUCCUUAGACAACAAAUAAAAGUGUCCUAUCUUUAACAAUAUAAGCUUCAAAACGAGACAAACAUUUCAGCAUAGUAUCAAAUUGGUUAAGGUCUUCUGGCUUCGUGGCUUUGAGUAUCACUGUCACCC